GCAUGUGGUUUAAUUCGAUGAUACGCGAGGAACCUUACCUGGGCUCGAACGUAAGAUGACUGUAGGUGAAAGCUUACAUCUCUUCGGAGCAUUUUACGAGGUGCUGCAUGGUUGUCGUCAGCUCGUGCCGUGAGGUGUCGGGUUAAGUCCCAUAACGAGCGCAACCCCUACCUUUAGUUGCCAUCAGGUUAAGCUGGGGACUCUAAAGGAACUGCCUACGCAAGUAGUGAGGAAGGCGGGGAUGACGUCAAAUCAGCACGGCCCUUACGUCCAGGGCUACACACGUGCUACAAUGGCCGAUACAGAGGGCAGCUACCUGGUGACAGGAUGCAAAUCUCCAAAGUCGGUCUCAGUUCGGAUCGGAGUCUGCAACCCGACUCCGUGAAGUUGGAUUCGCUAGUAAUCGCGCAUCAGCCAUGGCGCGGUGAAUACGUUCCCGGGCCUU
rnacentral:rRNA from 1 species